AUCAGCCCAGUAAGUCUGCGGCACCAGGCUAGGCCAAGACUGUCCUACACAAGCGGGGGUUGCUGCAGGAUAUUUAAACACGGAACAACCGUUGCCACCACUCACGUGACUGCACAAUGAGAAGGUUUGUUGUCUCACUGUUCCACACCCAAGUGCAGGGGCACCUGUUAAUGGGCUGGUAAUGUGACAAGGGCAGAGCCAGCGCUGCCGGCUACAGGGCAGAGCUGAUCGCUCACACCCCGUUAAGACUGAGGUCCCAAAACUACAUGCUAGUGAGCAGGUCUCUGGCUGCAGUGAGUGCCACCGCCUGGGCUUUGCAGGGCAAAGCGAUGGAGACAGCACCUGUGUGAGAUGCAACCAGCUAAAUGGUUUACCUGGACUUGUGGAUGACCUGAAGGAGGAGGUGGAGGGGCUGAGGAGCGUUAGGGACUGUGAGAAGGAGAUUGAUUGGUGGUGCCAGUCACUGCUGGCCCUGAGAUCUAUGCAGCCAGCUGAGGCUCCAGCUGGAGGACAUCACCCCCUGCCGUCUUGCAAACAGAGCUAAUUGCUUUAAGCCUAAAUUGAAGGAAUUCAAGGAACACCUUUACACCUUUCUAAGAUGAGGAUUUUCCUGAGGAGAAGGGAGUCUGACUCGGAGAGACACCUUGUCACAAAGAGUUCUAACAAUAUGAAUAUGAUAAAUGUGUCAUCAAUA